AAAUGGUUGGUCAAUGGUUAAGACAUUACACUUCUGAUUGGAGGGUCGUGAGUUCAAAUCCCAGCACUGUCAA